rnacentral:rRNA from 1 species
GACGUAGGGGGCCAGCGUUGCUCGGAAUUACUGGGCGUAAAGCGUGCGCAGGCGGCUUUGCAAGACAGAUGUGAAAUCCCCGGGCUUAACCUGGGAACUGCAUUUGUGACUGCAUGGCUGGAGUGCGGCAGAGGGGGAUGGAAUUCCGCGUGUAGCAGUGAAAUGCGUAGAUAUGCGGAGGAACACCGAUGGCGAAGGCAAUCCCCUGGGCCUGCACUGACGCUCAUGCACGAAAGCGUGGGGAGCAAACAGG